rnacentral:misc_RNA from 1 species
GAUGAAGAACGUAGCGAAAUGCGAUAAGUAAUGUGAAUUGCAGAAUUCAGUGAAUCAUCGAAUCUUUGAACGCACAUUGCGCCCGCCAGUAUUCUGGCGAGCAUGCCUGUUCGAGCGUCAUUUCAACCAUCAAGCCCCAGGCUUGUGUUGGAGCCCUGCGGCUGCCGCAGCCUCCCAAAACCAGUGGCGGGCUCGCUAUCACACCGAGUGCAGUAGUUUACUCUUCGCUCAGGGCGUGUGGCGGGUGCUAGCCGUGAAACCCCCAACUUCUCAAGGUUGACCUCGGAUCAGGUAGGAAUACCCGCUGAACUUAAGCAUAUCAAUAACGGAGGA